rnacentral:rRNA from 2 species
UACAGAGGUCUCAACCGUUGUUCGGAUUCAUUGGGCGUAAAGGGUGCGUAGGCGGUCGCGUAAGUCGGAUGUGAAAUCCCGGGGCUCAACCCCGGAACUGCAUUCGAUACUGCGUGGCUAGGGUACUGGAGAGGAAACUGGAAUUUACGGUGUAGCAGUGAAAUGCGUAGAUAUCGUAAGGAAGACCAGUGGCGAAGGCGAGUUUCUGGACAGUUACCGACGCUGAGGCACGAAGGCCAGGGGAGCAAACGGG